rnacentral:rRNA from 1 species
GACGAACGCUGGCGGCGUGCUUAACACAUGCAAGUCGAACGGAAAGGCCCUGCUUGCAGGGUGCUCGAGUGGCGAACGGGUGAGUAACACGUGGGUGAUCUGCCCCUUACUUUGGGAUAAGCCUGGGAAACUGGGUCUAAUACUGGAUAGGACCAUGCUGUAGGUGGUGUGGUGGAAAGAUAAGUUUCGGUAAGGGAUGAGCUCGCGGCCUAUCAGCUUGUUGGUGGGGUAAUGGCCUACCAAGGCGUCGACGGGUGGCCGGCCUGAGUGGGUGGACGGCCACAUUGGGACUGCGAUACGGCCCAGAACCCUACGGGAGGCAGCAGUGGGGGAUAGUGCACAAUGGGCGCACGCCUGAUGCAGCGACGCCGCGUGGGGGGUGACGGCCUUCGGGUUGUAAACUCCUUUCAGCCAUGACGAAGCCCUUGUGGUGACGGUAGUGGUAGAAGAAGCACCGGCUAACUACGUG